rnacentral:rRNA from 1 species
GAACGGUAGCACAGAGAGCUUGCUCUUGGGUGACGAGUGGCGGACGGGUGAGUAAUGUCUGGGAAACUGCCCGAUAGAGGGGGAUAACUACUGGAAACGGUAGCUAAUACCGCAUAACCUCGUAAGAGCAAAGUGGGGGACCUUCGGGCCUCACGCUAUCGGAUGUGCCCAGAUGGGAUUAGCUAGUAGGUGGGGUAAUGGCUCACCUAGGCGACGAUCCCUAGCUGGUCUGAGAGGAUGACCAGCCACACUGGAACUGAGACACGGUCCAGACUCCUACGGGAGGCAGCAGUGGGGAAUAUUGCACAAUGGGCGCAAGCCUGAUGCAGCCAUGCCGCGUGUAUGAAGAAGGCCUUCGGGUUGUAAAGUACUUUCAGCGGGGAGGAAGGCGAUGAGGUUAAUAACCUCGUCGAUUGACGUUACCCGCAGAAGAAGCACCGGCUAACUCCGUG